GAGAUUAAAUUAAAUUAUAGAAUUUCUAAUUCUAUUUAAAGUAUUUAAAUUUACUUUAAUCUUU
rnacentral:tRNA from 1 species